ACUAAGCGUACACGGUGGAUGCCCUGGCAGUCAGAGGCGAUGAAGGACGUGCUAAUCUGCGAUAAGCGUCGGUAAGGUGAUAUGAACCGUUAUAACCGGCGAUUUCCGAAUGGGGAAACCCAGUGUGAUUCGUCACACUAUCAUUAACUGAAUCCAUAGGUUAAUGAGGCGAACCGGGGGAACUGAAACAUCUAAGUACCCCGAGGAAAAGAAAUCAACCGAGAUUCCCCCAGUAGCGGCGAGCGAACGGGGAGCAGCCCAGAGCCUGAAUCAGUGUGUGUGUUAGUGGAAGCGUCUGGAAAGGCGCGCGAUACAGGGUGACAGCCCCGUACACAAAAAUGCACAUAUUGUGAGCUCGAUGAGUAGGGCGGGACACGUGGUAUCCUGUCUGAAUAUGGGGGGACCAUCCUCCAAGGCUAAAUACUCCUGACUGACCGAUAGUGAACCAGUACCGUGAGGGAAAGGCGAAAAGAACCCCGGCGAGGGGAGUGAAAAAGAACCUGAAACCGUGUACGUACAAGCAGUGGGAGCACGCUUAGGCGUGUGACUGCGUACCUUUUGUAUAAUGGGUCAGCGACUUAUAUUCUGUAGCAAGGUUAACCGAAUAGGGGAGCCGAAGGGAAACCGAGUCUUAACUGGGCGUUAAGUUGCAGGGUAUAGACCCGAAACCCGGUGAUCUAGCCAUGGGCAGGUUGAAGGUUGGGUAACACUAACUGGAGGACCGAACCGACUAAUGUUGAAAAAUUAGCGGAUGACUUGUGGCUGGGGGUGAAAGGCCAAUCAAACCGGGAGAUAGCUGGUUCUCCCCGAAAGCUAUUUAGGUAGCGCCUCGUGAAUUCAUCUCCGGGGGUAGAGCACUGUUUCGGCAAGGGGGUCAUCCCGACUUACCAACCCGAUGCAAACUGCGAAUACCGGAGAAUGUUAUCACGGGAGACACACGGCGGGUGCUAACGUCCGUCGUGAAGAGGGAAACAACCCAGACCGCCAGCUAAGGUCCCAAAGUCAUGGUUAAGUGGGAAACGAUGUGGGAAGGCCCAGACAGCCAGGAUGUUGGCUUAGAAGCAGCCAUCAUUUAAAGAAAGCGUAAUAGCUCACUGGUCGAGUCGGCCUGCGCGGAAGAUGUAACGGGGCUAAACCAUGCACCGAAGCUGCGGCAGCGACGCUUAUGCGUUGUUGGGUAGGGGAGCGUUCUGUAAGCCUGCGAAGGUGUGCUGUGAGGCAUGCUGGAGGUAUCAGAAGUGCGAAUGCUGACAUAAGUAACGAUAAAGCGGGUGAAAAGCCCGCUCGCCGGAAGACCAAGGGUUCCUGUCCAACGUUAAUCGGGGCAGGGUGAGUCGACCCCUAAGGCGAGGCCGAAAGGCGUAGUCGAUGGGAAACAGGUUAAUAUUCCUGUACUUGGUGUUACUGCGAAGGGGGGACGGAGAAGGCUAUGUUGGCCGGGCGACGGUUGUCCCGGUUUAAGCGUGUAGGCUGGUUUUCCAGGCAAAUCCGGAAAAUCAAGGCUGAGGCGUGAUGACGAGGCACUACGGUGCUGAAGCAACAAAUGCCCUGCUUCCAGGAAAAGCCUCUAAGCAUCAGGUAACAUCAAAUCGUACCCCAAACCGACACAGGUGGUCAGGUAGAGAAUACCAAGGCGCUUGAGAGAACUCGGGUGAAGGAACUAGGCAAAAUGGUGCCGUAACUUCGGGAGAAGGCACGCUGAUAUGUAGGUGAAGUCCCUUGCGGAUGGAGCUGAAAUCAGUCGAAGAUACCAGCUGGCUGCAACUGUUUAUUAAAAACACAGCACUGUGCAAACACGAAAGUGGACGUAUACGGUGUGACGCCUGCCCGGUGCCGGAAGGUUAAUUGAUGGGGUCAGCGCAAGCGAAGCUCUUGAUCGAAGCCCCGGUAAACGGCGGCCGUAACUAUAACGGUCCUAAGGUAGCGAAAUUCCUUGUCGGGUAAGUUCCGACCUGCACGAAUGGCGUAAUGAUGGCCAGGCUGUCUCCACCCGAGACUCAGUGAAAUUGAACUCGCUGUGAAGAUGCAGUGUACCCGCGGCAAGACGGAAAGACCCCGUGAACCUUUACUAUAGCUUGACACUGAACAUUGAGCCUUGAUGUGUAGGAUAGGUGGGAGGCUUUGAAGUGUGGACGCCAGUCUGCAUGGAGUCGACCUUGAAAUACCACCCUUUAAUGUUUGAUGUUCUAACGUGGACCCGUGAUCCGGGUUGCGGACAGUGUCUGGUGGGUAGUUUGACUGGGGCGGUCUCCUCCUAAAGAGUAACGGAGGAGCACGAAGGUUGGCUAAUCCUGGUCGGACAUCAGGAGGUUAGUGCAAUGGCAUAAGCCAGCUUGACUGCGAGCGUGACGGCGCGAGCAGGUGCGAAAGCAGGUCAUAGUGAUCCGGUGGUUCUGAAUGGAAGGGCCAUCGCUCAACGGAUAAAAGGUACUCCGGGGAUAACAGGCUGAUACCGCCCAAGAGUUCAUAUCGACGGCGGUGUUUGGCACCUCGAUGUCGGCUCAUCACAUCCUGGGGCUGAAGUAGGUCCCAAGGGUAUGGCUGUUCGCCAUUUAAAGUGGUACGCGAGCUGGGUUUAGAACGUCGUGAGACAGUUCGGUCCCUAUCUGCCGUGGGCGCUGGAGAACUGAGGGGGGCUGCUCCUAGUACGAGAGGACCGGAGUGGACGCAUCACUGGUGUUCGGGUUGUCAUGCCAAUGGCACUGCCCGGUAGCUAAAUGCGGAAGAGAUAAGUGCUGAAAGCAUCUAAGCACGAAACUUGCCCCGAGAUGAGUUCUCCCUGACCCUUUAAGGGUCCUGAAGGAACGUUGAAGACGACGACGUUGAUAGGCCGGGUGUGUAAGCGCAGCGAUGCGUUGAGCUAACCGGUACUAAUGAACCGUGAGGCUUAACC
rnacentral:rRNA from 1 species